UACAGAGGGGGCGAGCGUUGUUCGGAAUUACUGGGCGUAAAGGGCGCGUAGGCGGCCUUCUAAGUCGAACGUGAAAUCCCCGGGCUCAACCCGGGAACUGCGUCCGAUACUGGGAGGCUUGAAUCCGGGAGAGGGAUGUGGAAUUCCAGGUGUAGCGGUGAAAUGCGUAGAUAUCUGGAGGAACGCCGAUGGCGAAGGCAAUCCCCUGGGCCUGCACUGACGCUCAUGCACGAAAGCGUGGGGAGCAAACAGG
rnacentral:rRNA from 1 species